rnacentral:rRNA from 1 species
AGAGUUUGAUCCUGGCUCAGGAUGAACGCUAGCGGCAGGCCUAACACAUGCAAGUCGAACGGUAACAUAGAGAAGCUUGCUUUUCUGAUGACGAGUGGCGCACGGGUGCGUGACGCGUAUACAAUCUACCUUUUACAGAGGGAUAGCCCAGAGAAAUUUGGAUUAACACCUCAUGGUAUUGAGAAUUGGCAUCGAUUUUCAAUUAAAACUCCGGUGGUAAGAGAUGAGUAUGCGUUCUAUUAGCUAGUAGGUAGGGUAACGGCUUACCUAGGCAACGAUAGAUAGGGGCCCUGAGAGGGGGAUCCCCCACACUGGUACUGAGACACGGACCAGACUCCUACGGGAGGCAGCAGUGAGGAAUAUUGGACAAUGGGCGCAAGCCUGAUCCAGCCAUGCCGCGUGCAGGAAGACUGCCCUAUGGGUUGUAAACUGCUUUUAUACGGGAAGAAACACCGCUACGUGUAGUGGUUUGACGGUACCGUAAGAAUAAGGAUCGGCUAACUCCGUGCCAGCAGCCGCGGUAAUACGGAGGAUCCAAGCGUUAUCCGGAAUCAUUGGGUUUAAAGGGUCCGUAGGUGGAUAAUUAAGUCAGAGGUGAAAUCCUGCAGCUCAACUGUAGAAUUGCCUUUGAUACUGGUUAUCUUGAGUUAUUAUGAAGUAGUUAGAAUAUGUAGUGUAGCGGUGAAAUGCAUAGAUAUUACAUAGAAUACCAAUUGCGAAGGCAGAUUACUAAUAAUCAACUGACACUGAUGGACGAAAGCGUGGGGAGCGAACAGGAUUAGAUACCCUGGUAGUCCACGCCGUAAACGAUGGAUACUAGCUGUUCGGACUUCGGUUUGAGUGGCUAAGCGAAAGUGAUAAGUAUCCCACCUGGGGAGUACGUUCGCAAGAAUGAAACUC